GUGUCAGCAGCCGCGGUAAUACGAAGGGGGCUAGCGUUGUCCGGGUUUAUUGGGCGUAAAGAGCGUGUAGGCGGCCAGGUAGGUCGGCUGUGAAAACUCGAGGCUCAACCUCGAGAUGUCGGCCGAAACCAUCUGGCUAGAGUCCGGAAGAGGAGAGUGGAAUUCCCGGUGUAGCGGUGAAAUGCGCAGAUAUCGGGAAGAACACCCGUGGCGAAGGCGGCUCUCUGGGACGGUACUGACGCUGAGACGCGAAAGCGUGGGGAGCGAACAGGAUUAGAAACCCCUGUAGUCC
rnacentral:rRNA from 1 species